rnacentral:lncRNA from 1 species
CUGGACUUCUUAUUUUCUAGAGUAUUCGGAUAUGGGUAUAAAAGUAUGAUCAUACAAAUUUAUACAAAGACUGAAAAAAUUAAACAUUACCUGAAUUCGAAAUCACUCCGAGUGUGGAUAACAUAGCUCAUGGGAGUACUCCUUUGUACUUUUUUCCUACUCCUGAAAGUUAUAAAGAUAUUUGAGAAAUUAUCUAAACUAAAAGACGGAUGAUGACAUUAAACUUUUUAAACUACAGAAUCUGAGGCCAGAGAUACCUCGUUGCUGUCCAAGUUCGCUUGCAAAUGUGAUGAAAAGAUGCUGGGAUGCAAACCCCGACAGACGGCCAGAGAUGGAUGAAGUGGU